GCCUUCGUGGUGUAGAGGUCAGCGCGCUCGAUGCGUACUCCAGAGGUCCAUGGUUCGAGUCCCGGCGAGAGCA
rfam:Stegodyphus mimosarum contig3150, whole genome shotgun sequence.